GCGGAUUUAGCUCAGUUGGGAGAGCGUCAGACUGAAGAUCUGAAGGUCUUGUGUUCGAUCCACAAAAUUCGCA
rfam:Hanseniaspora osmophila strain AWRI3579 Hanseniaspora_osmophila_AWRI3579_scaffold11, whole genome shotgun sequence.